rnacentral:lncRNA from 12 species
CACCUCAUUUAAAUGGCUGUAGAUACUUCAUAAUGCAGUGUUCUUUGGUUACAGCCUGCUGCUCUCAGAUGGAUGUUUUGCUUCAUUUCACCAACGUCUGAGCCAUACCAUCUGUCUCAAAGGGCCAACGUGACGGCAAAGAUAUGGAUAGUUCUCUUAAAGCGUG